AGAGGCAGCUGACUUUUCUGAGUUUGAGGCCUGUCUGGUCUACAGAAAGAAUUUAGGGGUUACACAGAUAAACCCUGUCAUGAAAAUACCGAAAAGCAAUCAAACCAAAAAUAAGACCCACCUAUAAUCUGGAUCACACCAUCUGCCAAUGUAUAUAAUGAUAUUGAAGAAAGAAGCUCUCUCUCGUUGACUGCUUGCCCCAGCCCUGGCUACCAGACUCAUUACUUUACAAAGCCUUACAGCCUAUUUCUUUAGAAUUUUAGUGCAUACUGAAGACCAGCUGAGACAUUCAGCUUCAUGGAGUGAACAACUAUUGGAUUCUUCAAAUUUCCAUAGGUAGACAGAUAUGGUUGAACUAGCUGGACCACAGCUUGUGAGACAUUCUAAUAAAUCCACUUUCUACAUACAUGGAGAGACUGAUUUAUACAAGUCCUGCUCAUGUAGAGAACCUUGAACAAUGCAGUCAUGAUUUUAUUUUUCACUGCCCCCUGAGGAAGAUGUGCUGGCAUACAAUAUUGCUUAUUAAGGCAUUCUUACUAGCUCCAUUAUUCUCUAAGUAUUCAACUUACCAUGAAGACUACUCUUUUUAUUAUUAUUCAUUUGUCAAGAGUUUGCCCUUAAUUCCAGAAGAAAACUUCAAAAUCAAUGGAGCCAUCAUCCAGCCUUCUGAUGAGAGACAGAUUUAUCAUUAUGUUUUUUCAUCUGGUUCCUGCAUUUCUCUCCUGGUUCUCUUAGUGCCUGUGACUAACAGCUAAAAAGUACCUUCAGUUCACCUGACCUCAGCCAGAAGCCACAGAACAAACAUCUCCUUUGGUGUCCCUAAAUCCCUCUUUAAACUUGUUAAUAUUCUAGGCCCCCUUCCACUAAUGGGCCAGGGAAUCACUGCACUCCACUCUGAGUAAAUGACUGUGCAAGCUACUUUCAUUGAGUCCAGGAGGAAGAAUGGGAAGUGCCUGUGGAAUGCAGGAAGACAGCAGGGUCAGCAAUUGGAGCCAGGGGCAAGUGCUAUUGAAAUGCAAAUCUCUGCAGUCUAGGUCUGGAGUAGAAGGUACUGUAAGGAUCCAGUGUGCUAUGUCUUUAAGCACAUUGUAACCUAAGGGAGGAGCUCUUGUCACUCAUGCCUCAUUAGCCAAUCAGCACCCGCAGGCCAAACUGCUAGUCAGAAGUGGUGCAGGGCCCUUCUGGGAGCCAGGUUGCAGGCUUGGCUUUGCCGAGAAGCUGGCUCCUUUGUUUUCAUUUGCUGUCCUGCGGAUUCUGCUACAGGGAGCUGUGAGGAGGCCAAGGGUGAACAUGAAGGCCACGACAUGCUAGUUUUGCUGGGUAGCUUCUCUGGAGUUCAUCUAUAUAGACCAGACUGUUCUCACACUUGGUAAUACUGCUACCUUCCAAGAGCUGAGAUUACAGUUGAGCACUGCUGCACACAUCUAUGUUUGGCAGAGUCAGAAACCCAGUAAAGAGACUGUGAGAGGUCAUCGCAUGAAGCUGUGAAGAUUACGCCAGUGUUGUAUUUUGAGAUGGCAUUUCUGUUGCAAGGUUAUAUCCCAUACAAGGGGUACAGAAAUGAGAGAAGUGAACCUCCUUAUUCAGUUUCCUUCUAGAGUGACUUGAUGAUUACUUUACAAUGUCUGUGUUAUGGAGGAAGUAAGUGGAGCACCAGAAUUAUAUGACUAUAUCAUGAAGAAGUAUAGAUUUACAAUGUUGUCAGUACCAUGCUUUCUGUUGUACACAUCUAUGGGAUAUUUUAGAAUGCAGUGACCUAUGAUGAUGUGCAUGUUGCCUUCACUUGGGAAGAAUGGACUUUGCUGAAUCCUUCCCAGAAGAAUCUCUACAAAGAUGUGAUGCUGGAGACCUACAGGAACCUCAUUACUAUAGGUAAGACUGAAUUUUCCUUCAUAUAAAAUAAGGGGACAACUCUUCUUUGGCUAUUGAUGCUUCUCUGUAAUUUGAGUGAGAAAGAAGAAUUAGGUGAAUAAAUCAGGUAUGGUUCUAAGGUUCACUGAAGAUAGUAACUUAAAUUUUGCACAAUUUUUAAUAAUAUACCAUACAUUUUCUGAAACUAUAUUUUAGGAUACAGCAGAGAUGACCAUAAUAUCGAAGAAUACUGUAAAAUUUCUAGAAGACAUGAAAGGUAAUUUUCUUUUGCAAGCUGUUACAAAUGUGCCUUUGAAGAAACUGUAAAUGUGUCCUGGAAGUUUCAAAGAAAAACAACAGUGUAAAUUAGCACAGCUUAUAAUGCAUUGAUGAUUAUUAAAUUCUGAUAACAAAUACCAUAUUCCUCAACUUCAGGUAAGUGAAUUACAUUUUCAAGGCAUUCUUUUAAGAAAGACGACAAGAAAACAAUGCCUUAACAGACGUGGCCAUUUGAAUCAAAACCCCAUUCGUGCUGUGCUGUACAUCUGCCAGUCCAUUUCAUUUCAUGACACUCAUAUUAAAAAAGGCAGACACAUUGAAGAGGUGAUAAGUAUAUGUUCAAAACAUUCAAAAAUAAGCAAAUAGUCCAUAGUAAAGUUAGUGUUACUCAUAUACUUUUUGUGACUUUGAUAAAUUUAGUGAAAGAGGCACUUAGAGUCAAGGGCUAUUGUGGAGAGACCUUAAUCCCCAUACCACAUAUCUAUGAGAAACAGAAAUUCAAACUGUAUGAAUUCAAUGUGGAAACCUUUUGUCAUUCUUCCUUUACUAUGUAUGUCAUAUAUCAUUCUGGAUACAAGCCACAUGAACAUAUGGAUAUGGAAUGAUGGAACAUACCUCUCAGAACUAUUAGAAUAUAUAUAGCAGUCCCCACAUUGAAUAGACUUGUUGAAUCUGAUUCAAGUAUACAAGUAAAUGGUUUUCUACCUUCACUGUAAAUACAUCAACAAUCUCACACUGCAGAAAAGCCCUAAGAGUACUAGCACUGUGUAAAUAGUUCUGUUUGUCAUAAUUCACCUAGAAAAUGUAAUGUGACUCACAGUAUAGGAAAAUUUAUGAAAGCAAUAAGUUUGAUAAAGCUGAGUUUUUCCAGUUCUCUUCAAAUAUGUGAAAAAUCUCAUAUAGGAAAAAAAAUGUGUAAAUGUGAAUCAUGUAAUAAAUGCUUUUACUAUCACAUGUAUCUUUAAAGAUGCAAAACAACCCCUAAUAAAUGGGAAUAAUAUGAGUGUAAACAAAGUAAUAAAACCUUAAUAUCUGAUUCUUUGCAACUGGACCAAAUUGCAAAUUAGCUCAUUCAAAUAUAAAGAUUCAACAGUAUAUUUAAAGUGGUAAAGCUUUUACAUGUGCCAAUUAUCCUUGCAGGAAUGAAAGAAGUCGUACUGGACAACAACCUUCUGAAUAUCCUCAAUGUGUUAAAGCCUUUGCUC